GCCUGGGUGGCUCAGUCGGUUGGGCGUCUGACUUCGGCUCAGGUCAUGAUCUCACGGUCCGUGAGUUCGAGCCCCACGUCAGGCU
rnacentral:tRNA from 1 species